rnacentral:miRNA from 1 species
UUGGCCAAAAAGUUCGUUUGGAGUUUUCUGCAACAUCUUUCAGAAGAACCUGAAUGAACUUUUUGGCCAA